rnacentral:rRNA from 1 species
UAAAUUAUUUUCUUAAUUUUUUUUUUUAUUUUUUUUUUAAACAAAAGUUAUUUAUUUGUUUUUAAAAUUUCAUUUUAUCAAAAUUUUUUUUUUUUAGUUUAUUUUACUGUUAAGGUAAUAAUAUAAUUUUUAAGAAGAUAAUUUUUUUUUUGUACCUUUUGUAUCAGGGUUAAUUAAAAUUAAUUAAAUUUAUUUUUUUUUCCCGAAUUUUUAGGAUCUAUAUUUUUUUGGAUUUUGUUGUAGCAUAAAUAUUUAUAAAUUUAAUUAUAGAUUUGAAAAGAAAAUCGACUAAUUUUUUUUCUGGUUACUUUAGAUUUAAUUAAAUUAUAGAUUUUUUUUUUGUUUUUUUAUUUAUUUUAUUCAUUUAUUUUUCUAAUUUUUAUUUGGUUUAGCUUUUAAAAUUUAUAUAAUUUUUUUUUUUUAUUAUUUUGUAGGAUUAGAAUUUUUCAUCAUUUGAAUUUUGUUAAAAAUUAAUUUUUUUUUUUAAUUAAUUUUUAUUUUUUUAUUUAGUUUUUUAUAUUAAUUUUUUUUUAAUUAAUAAUGAUUAAAUUAGUAAAUUAAUAAUUUUUUUAUAUGAAUUCGGCAAAAAUUAAUUCUCGCCUGUUUAACAAAAACAUGUCUUUUUGGGUUUAUAAAAAGUCUGUCCUGCUCAAUGAAUUAAAAUUUUAAAUAGCCGCAGUAUUUUGACUGUGCAAAGGUAGCAUAAUAAUUAGUCUUUUAAUUGAGGUCUUGAAUGAAUGGUUAGACGAAGAAUUAACUUUAUUUAAAAAAUUUUUUUUAAUUUUAGUUUUUGGUAAAAAUUCCAUAAUUUUUAAAAGGGACGAUAAGACCCUAUAGAUCUUAAAAAUAUUUUAUUUAUUUUUUUUUUUUGUUGUUUUUUGUUUAUUAAAUUUUUAUUUUUUUAUUGGGGUGAUAGAUAAAAUUUUUGACUUUAUUUUAUAUUUACAUUUAUUUAUGUUUAUUUUGAUCCUUAAUUUUGGAUUUAAAGAUAAAGAUACCUUAGGGAUAACAGCAUAAUAUAGUUGGAGAGUUCAUAUCGAUAAUUAUGUUUGUGACCUCGAUGUUGGAUUAAAAUUUAGCUGUGGGGUAGGUUUUACAGUAUUGAGUCUGUUCGACUUUUAAAAUUUUACAUGAUCUGAGUUCAAACCGGCGUGAGCCAGGUUGGUUUCUAUCUUUUUAUAAAUUUUUUUAAUUAGUACGAAAGGACUUUUAAAAUAUAAUAUUUAUUC